AGAGUAGAUUUACGGAUGAAAAAUCAUACUGGAAACACAAGCCACACACCACAAUUUAGCAGGCACAUGCUCUCAUGUGUGCAAGAAGAGACAAUUGCAACUAUUAAAGGAGAAAAGAGAUUUCUUUAUCAAGUACAUUGCCCAUGGCUUAUCAGGACGCUAAAAUUUCCUCGCAGUUAA